rnacentral:lncRNA from 1 species
UCAGUGCCUCCUGGGGUGGGGUGGGUGUUCUUCUUCCUCCUAUUCUCUCUCUCCCACUCACACGCGCAAGUUCUCUUCCCCUGCUCUCUGCUCUCUGUCUCAGUCUCUUAUCUCUGCCUCUCUCCGUCUCUCUGGUUUCUUCAUUCUCCCUUGACAAUUGCCUUCGAUUCUCUUGUGUCUGCGCGUCUCCUCCCAGCCCGCCCAUCUCUCAAGGUCUCUCCUUCUGUCUCUCGGUCUCUAUCUCUGUCUCUCUCCUUCUGUCUCUCGGUCUCUAUCUCUGUCUCUCUCCUUCUGUCUCUCCGUCUCUAUCUCUGUCUCUCGGUGUCUCUCUGUGUCCGUGUCUCUCCCUCCCAGUCUCCGUCUAUCUCUGUCUCUCUCCUUCUGUCUCUCGGUCUCUAUCUCUGUCUCUCGGUGUCUCUCUGUGUCCGUGUCUCUCCCUCGCAGUCUCUGUCUCGCCUUUUGCAGGUCCCUCGGUCCCUCUCGGACCCCAGACACGCCGUCUGUGUGUCCCAGCUCUCGGUCUCUCGGCUCUGACCCUGAUCUCGGCGGCCCGAGUGUGACCUCAGUCAAGUCUCUUUUGGCCUGUGCAAAACAAAGGGGAUUGGACCCCGUUGGGCUCCUUGCAGCUGAAGUCUCGUGCAUGAACCCCCUCCCACCUUUUCUGUCUUCCUCUCUGCAGCUAUCGGCCCCCUGUUCCCACGUUGCUCUUUCCCUUUCCUCCCCAGAAUUCCCUGGUGCAAUCAGGUCUUCUUGACCAUGAAAUAUGUUGCCCUCGGGGCCUAUUUCUUGGCCUCCGCGGAUAAUCCCAGAUCUCCUCUCCCGGUCCUGGGACCGAAUUAAGGGAAGUGAGUGUGGGGAGGGGGAGAACCGCCUGCCCCGCCCUCCUCCCACCUCAGAGCUAUAAUCCAACCUCUGGACUUGGACCUGACCUUUUCCCCUCCCCUCCCCCUCUAUUUCCUUAUCAAUCAUUAACUGGAGGCCUGGUGGUUAGUGUAGGGACAGUUCUGGGCUCAGGUCAUAGUUCAAGGAGCUGGGAGGGGUAGGGAGGUGUCUGUCUCCAUCUCUUCCGGUGUCUCCCUCCCCAUCUCUUUGUUUCUGUUCUCAGGCCUGGUGAAGGGAUGGAGUGUGUGUGUGUGUGUGUGUGUGUGUGUGUGUGUGUGUGUGAUUGUUUAGCCCACGAAUGCAGUCUGAGGGUCCAAGGACAGUCUGAGGGCAAGUCAGAUUGGCCUUGAAGUAGUUGGGAUUUGAGGAAUCGAGGAGGAUCUUAAGGUCCGGGAGAGUCUGGGAGCGGAGCUUGCUGGGGGAGAAGUCCGAGGUGACCCCGCUUCUCCCCCCACCCUCCACCCCAAGCUGGGCCUGGUUUCCCAGAAUCUCCAGGAGAUCAGGAAAGUCCCGGCUCGGCGAGUCUCCUCCCUCCCCUUUCCAGUGUCGGGAAUGGGAAUGGAAGAGACGUGGAUGAUGAACCUCUUCCCUCCUUAACCUAGACCCUGGGAAGGGGUUUUAAUUAACCCUCGCCUGCCUCUUUGUGCCGCUUUUUGGGAAAUGUGAGCGUCUCUGGCCUGCAGAACCGGGGGUUUCCCCUUCCCUGGGCUCUCACUGGCCAGAUCCCUUCCCUCCCCUGGCCUGCUUUUGAACUCCAUCCCUUGACUGGAGUCAAGUCACUUUCCGUAUUCUGGGCUGCAGGUUCCUCAUCUAUAAAUCUCCGGGGGUUAGGAACGGCCCGUCUCCCCGAGUCACGUCCCACACCUUCCAGACCGAUCUCGGCACAUCUCUAAAGAGUCACAGGAUUCACCGAAUGGCCGACAUCCCAGAAAUCCCUCUGCCUUUGCUGGAAGCCCUCUGAGGGGAGGGCUGGCUCUCCUGCCCCUCGUGGUGGCUCCCCGGGGCAGGUCCCAGAUUCAGGGCCUCUCCCUCAAAUUGCCCAAGCUGCGACUUGAAUCACUCUUCGGCCCUGAAUUCCACAGAAACCUGGGCCUAAGUCAGAGGGUGAAUCUGGGCCAACUUCCUGGAGGAGGAGCUACUUCUCCUCCCCCCACCCCCCCUUUCCUUCCCCCUAGGCCUUCCCUGCCGUGGGGAGACUGGCUUAUCCUGGCACCGAACCCACCCUGCCCCACCCAAGGGCCUCCUGCCAACUUUUAAUCUCCUUGGAGCCACGGGCUGGAGGGGUUAUUGCAACAUAGACCCUGGAGGGCCAGCCCCAUGUCUCCUCUUCCAGGGUGAUCAGGAGGAAAUUCCUCUUUCCUGGAGUUUUUUUACAGGCUUUCUCCAAGGGAACACUGAGGCAGACUGAGCUAGACCCAAGCCCUAGGCGGCCCAGGUGGAAAAGGGUGGGAAGGACCCGGGAAAGCCAGGAGAUUGGGGAGACUGGGAGGGCUCCAGGGGGGUGGAUCUGGGUGGGUGGGGGCCCAGAGGGAAGAAGAUCCUCCCCUAGGGUGGGGCAGAAGGCCUGGCUCUGUUCCCCUUGCCCUGGGGCCCAGGGCCGCUUCUGCCUCCCAGUCGCCCUUCACAGAGAAAGGGAAGUCCCAAGAACCCUGGGAAAGGCCCCUCCCUCAUCCCCUCUGCAGGUCCAGGAAGCUCGGAGGCCAUCCUGUCUAAAUUUCCGAUUAAUAGUUCCAUGUCCUGAGGGGCAGGAGCUCCUGGUAGGAACGGAGAAAUGAGGGGCACUUUGUGUUCCCCGGGUGUGGAGAAACCUUGUGGAGGCCGGGGUGUCGCCUCCUAGGACUGGGAGCUCCCAAGACCAGUUUUGGGAUUGGAUAGCUUGGGUUAAAAUCCUCCCUCUGCUACCUGGGUGACUUGGGGAAGGGACCCUGUGCCUCAGUUUCCCCUCCUGCCUGCAGGACUUCUGAGGUUCCCCCGGCUGUGAACACAGAGCUCUUUCCAGGUGAAGCUUGGAGUCCCAGAAUCUUCGGUCCAUUCCUAGGAAAUGGGUGCCUCCCCCGGGAGACCACAAAGAACCCCCGCCCCGGCUACCACAGGAUUAAAAAUAAAAGAGAGAAAAUCCCCUGAGCUCCUGGGAAGAGCUCUCUGCUCUGAAACCAACAGCACCCUUGGCCCUUCCUCAAUCUGAGGCCUCUGGCUCAGGGUCAGAUGGCAUCUUUCCCACGCCCGGCCUGGGCGGUUUUUCAUCCUCCCCCUGCCUGAGGCCUAGUGUCUGUCCCUAGGUCCACCACUGACUCAUUGAAUAAUCGAAGGCAAAUCUUUUCCCCUCUCAGCCUCAGUUUCCCCUUUUGUAAAUCGAGGCUGUUGGGAAAUGAUUCUAAGACUCCCUUCCCAGAUCGGGCAGUCUAUCUUCUAGGGAUUCUCUCAUUUGGGACGACGCUCCAGCAUCCCACGUUCCAAGCAGUCCUAACUUUUGUUGAACUCCAUUCUAGGAAAGUAUAAGUAUUCUAUGGGUAAAGGUCAAAAACCAAAUUUCUUUUUAUUUUUAUUUUCAAAACAUAUGCAUAGAUAAUUUCAACAUUCACGCUUGCAAAACCUCGUGUUCCAAUCUUUUUCUCUCUCCCUUUCCCUCCACUCCCUCCAAGAACCAAAAUUUUCAAAAAUCAAUUGUAUUAUUAUUAAUUUUUUUUUUAACUUCACCUUCUUUUCCUAAUAUACCUCUCCCUUCUCCCCCACAGAGGGAGAAAUCCCUUACACAAAAGAGUUCAGAAAAAAAAUUAAAAAAUAAAAAAUAAAAAGAGCUCAGAAAAACUACUAAGGCAGCAGAAUGUGACAACAUUAGCUGGGUUCCACUUGAAUCCUCCCUCUUCGAGGGGGUUGAUUGUGACCUCUACAGGGGAGGGAGAGGGGCACAUACUCUCUUAUCCUAUUCUGGGGUCAAGCUUAAUUGUGUAUGUGUGAAACAAGUAUUCCUAUAGCACCUACUAUGUGCUCUGUUCUUUUUUUUUUUUUUUUUUAAACAAAUCACAAUAACCCUGGAAGGAAGGAAGGCGUUGUUCUGAUCCCUGUUUACACUUGAGGAGACUGAGGAAGACUGAGGUUGGGUGACUAGUCCAGGGGCAAACUCCUAUCUAGCGAGUCUGGAGCCAGUUUCCUUGGGUACACUCAGUUCUCCAGCAUCCGCUUGCCUUGGGCUUCUAAGUCACUGUCCCUCAUCUGGUUCCCAGAUGGCCCUGGGCUUUGUCCAGUCUUGCAGAUUUCCAUUUGGAAAUGAACCAACUUGGGGCAAAUGGUCUGGGCUGGAAAGGGGUGAGCAGACAAGGCCAGGCUUCCUCAUUUGCUCUUCCCCAGUCUGUCUUUCCCCUCCCCCUGGUGCUCAGCUAAUUCUUUCUUGUUUUCCUAAGGGGAGUGCCCCCCCCCCCAAACUGAGGCACAAUUACAGCUGCUGCCCCACCUCACCCACCAAAUAAAGUGGAUUCUCCUUUGCCCCUCCUCCAGGAAGUCUUCCUGCAGGAUCCUGAGGUUCUGGCUCUUUGAAUCUUGUAGAAUUCGCAAGCUUCUUGAGGACGGGGCUCAGUUUAUUUUUUGGUCUGCGUACAGUGCUUGUCAUGCUGUUCAGUCACUUCUAACCCCAAUUGGGGCUUUCUGGCAGAGACACUGAAGUGCUUUGCCAUUUCCUUUCUCCAGCUCGUUUGACAGAUGAGGAAACUGAGGCAAGCAGGAUGAAUUGAUCUGUCCAGGUUUACGCAGCUAGGGAGUGUCUGAGACCCUCCUGUAGCUGUCCUUCCCCACACAUAGUAGGCUCUUACUUGUUGAUUGAUUGGUCAUGGAGCCUUUUAGGCUCUUAUUUUCGAGUGCUUAAAAUCUUAGACUCAUAGAAUUUUGUUUUCUUAGACUUGUGUUGCCUUUAUAGACCCUUGGACUUGGAGAAAGAACCUUAGGUUCGGAGCUGGAAGGGCUGGCUCAGAGAAAUCACAGCCAGACUUUUGUCUGCAGCAAUUAGGGACCGUCCAGCCCCUGCACAAACUGUGUGUGGGGGGCUUAUUUCUCUUAUUGCCUCAGUUUCCUCAUUUGUAAAAUGACCUGGAGGAGGAAAUGGCAAACCAUUCAGUAUAUUUGUGUGUGUGUGUGUGUGUGUGUGUUGUCCAGAUGGUUCUGAGACAGACAUAGAAGAGGAGAGAUAGGAAGAUCACAAAAAGAGACAUAAGGAAAUGGGGGGAGAGAGAGAUAGAGACAAAAGAGAGACAGAGACAGAAAAGAAAAAGGAAAGAGAAAUACACACACAGAAGAG